UACGUAGGGUGCAAGCGUUGUCCGGAAUUAUUGGGCGUAAAGAGCUCGUAGGCGGUCUGUCGCGUCGGCUGUGAAAACCCGGGGCUCAACCCCGGGCCUGCAGUCGAUACGGGCAGACUAGAGUGCGGUAGGGGGAGACUGGAAUUCCUGGUGUAGCGGUGAAAUGCGCAGAUAUCAGGAAGAACACCCGUGGCGAAGGCGGCUCUCUGGGACGGUACUGACGCUGAGACGCGAAAGCGUGGGGAGCGAACAGG
rnacentral:rRNA from 1 species